rnacentral:misc_RNA from 1 species
GCAAAGCAUUCUCUCCUCUUGGCCUUUCUCUCCUGAGCUGAAAGCAUUUCAUUUCCUUCUACUUGGAACAGAAUUAAGCCUUCUGUUUUCGUUUCUUGUUGCAUUAGAUAUACUCAGCCAUGUCUCAAGAUCAAUCAGAUUGCUUCGCUAACAUGCAAGAAACAUCAUAUAACGAUCUAUCCUUUACAUUGAUUGACAUUUUAUUGUGUGGAGAGUCUUUCAAUUUGUUCAGUGAUUUGCAGAAAUCACUUUCAAGAUUUUGGUUCUCUAUCCGAUCCAAAAUUAGUUUCAAUAACUCAAAGGUAUGGGAGGAGAACAAGAACAAAGAUUCUGAGUCAUCCAACCAGCAGCGUUUCUUAAACAACAAGAGAGAUGAUUGGAACCUCUGCAGAGAAGAGGUGGAGAUGGUAAUGGGGCAAUUGGGACUUUUUUGCAGCUUAGAAAGUGAGGAGCUUAAGGAGUCAAUGGGUUCUGAUGACCUUUCGCAGCUGUUUGAUGAGAAGGAGCCAAGCUUAGAGGAAGUGAAGGAAGCUUUUGAUGUUUUUGAUGAGAACAGAGAUGGGUUUAUUGAUGCAGAAGAGUUGCAGAGAGUACUCCAAAAAUUGGGAUUAAAGGAAGGAUUUACGCUGGAUAACUGUAGAAAAAUGAUCAGUGCCUGUGAUGAAAACAGAGACGGAAGAAUAGACUU